CUACGGGGCGCUGCAGCUGAGGAUCUUUUACAAUGCACGCAAGUGUGAUAAAGCGAGCCAGAGCGUUGUUCUUAGAACAACUUUUGUUUGCUGUAAAAAGGCAGACGAAUAAGGACUGGGUAAGACCGGUGCCAGCCGCCGCGGUAAUACCGGCGGUCCAAGUUGCAUCCAUUUUUAUUAGGUCUAAAACAUCCGUAGCUUGUUUUGUAAGUUUCUUGUGAAAUCUUAUGUCUCAAACAUGAGGCUUGCAAGAAAUACUGCAUUGCUAGAGACCGGAAGACGUAAGGAGUAUGAUUGAGGUAGCGGUAAAAUGCGUUAAUCUUAAUCAGACUAACAAUGGCGAAGGCACCUUACGAGUACGGAUCUGACAGUGAGGGAUGAAGGCUAGGGGCGCAAAACGGAUUAGAUACCCUAGUAGUC
rnacentral:rRNA from 1 species